rnacentral:rRNA from 1 species
GACGAACGCUGGCGGCGUGCUUAACACAUGCAAGUCGAACGGAAAGGCCUCUUUCGGGGGGUACUCGAGUGGCGAACGGGUGAGUAACACGUGAGUAACCUGCCCUUGACUUUGGGAUAACUUCAGGAAACUGGGGCUAAUACCGGAUAGGAGCUCCUGCUGCAUGGUGGGGGUUGGAAAGUUUCGGCGGUUGGGGAUGGACUCGCGGCUUAUCAGCUUGUUGGUGGGGUAGUGGCUUACCAAGGCUUUGACGGGUAGCCGGCCUGAGAGGGUGACCGGCAACAUUGGGACUGAGAUACGGCCCAGACUCCUACGGGAGGCAGCAGGGGGGAAUAUUGAACAAUGGGUGGAAGCCUGAUGCAGCAACGCCGUGUGCGGGAUGACGGCCUUCGGGUUGUAAACCGCUUUCGCUCAUGACGAAGCUUUGUGUGACGGUAGUGGGUAAAGAAGCACCGGCUAACUACGUG